GUAUCGAUGCGGGGCCAUUAGUGCCUUCGUAAUCGGAAUGAGUACACUUUAAAUCCUUUAACGAGGACCUAUUGGAGGGCAAGUCUGGUGCCAGCAGCCGCGGUAAUUCCAGCUCCAAUAUCUUAUAUUAAUGCUGCUGCGGUUAAAAAGCUCGUAGUCGGAUCUGGGUUUUCGCCGGGCACCAUAUGCAGCCUCGUGUUGUAUAUGUGUGUUAUACGUGUUGCUUCGGCAGCACUGCCAGUCUAGUUCUGUCUCUUUGUAGGCAAGCUAGGCUGGUCGGCGGAACCACGGGCCAAGCCGGGCGGUAUGCUCUUUACUGAGUGUACUGUCUGCUUGGUGCGUUUACUUUGAAAAAAUUGGAGUGCUCAAAGCAGGCGUAUAGUCGCUAUGCGGCCGGAACAGUGGUGCAUGGAAUAAUGGAAUAGGACCUCGGUUCUAUUUUGUUGGUUUUAAGAAUUCGAGGUAAUGAUUAAGAGGGACAGACGGGGACAUUUGUAUUGCGACGUUAGAGGUGAAAUUCUUGGAUCGUCGCAAGACAAACUAAUGCGAAAGCAUUUGUCUAGAAUGUUUUCAUUGAUCAAGAACGAAAGUUAGAGGUUCGAAGGCGAUCAGAUACCGCCCUAGUUCUAACCAUAAACGAUGCCAACCAGCGAUCCGUCGGUGUUCUCAUUUUUGAACGACUCGACGGGCAGCUUCCGGGAAACCAAAGUUUUUGGGUUCCGGGGGAAGUAUGGUUGCAAAGCU
rnacentral:rRNA from 1 species